UGCCACUCCCUUUUCCCAGCCUGGGGUGGUGGUGUGAGAGCGAGUCCGAGCUUCCUGGGUGAUCCUCUUAAGUUUGUAGGGAUCCCCAAUUCCAGAGGGCAAAUACAGCAAGAGGAAAGGACGGUUCAAAAGGUCGGACGGGAGCACAUCCUCGGAUACAACAUCCAACAGCUUUGUGCGCCAGGGCUCAGCGGAGUCCUACACCAGCCGUCCGUCGGACUCUGAUGUGUCUCUGGAAGAGGACCGAGAAGCCUUAAGGAAGGAGGCAGAGCCCCAGGCAUUAGCCCAGCUUGAGAAAGCCAAG